UGGGGAAUAUUGCGCAAUGGGGGCAACCCUGACGCAGCAACGCCGCGUGCGGGAGGAAGGCACUCGUGUCGUAAACCGCUUUCAGCAGGGAAGACAUCGACGGUACCUGCAGAAGAAGCCCCGGCUAACUACGUGCCAGCAGCCGCGGUAACACGUAGGGGGCGAGCGUUAUCCGGAUUCAUUGGGCGUAAAGCGCGCGCAGGCGGCCGCCUAAGCGGGACCUCUAAUCCUGGGGCUCAACCUCAGGCCGGGUCCCGGACUGGGCGGCUCGGGUGCGGUAGGGGCAGGCGGAAUUCCCGGUGUAGCGGUGGAAUGCGCAGAUAUCGGGAAGAACACCGACGGCGAAGGCAGCCUGCUGGGCCGACACCGACGCUGAGGCGCGAAAGCCGGGGGAGCGAACAGG
rnacentral:rRNA from 2 species